rnacentral:rRNA from 2 species
GGUAUUUUGACCGUGCAAAGGUAGCAUAAUCAUUAGUUUUUUAAUUGAAAGCUGGAAUGAAAGGUUGGAUGAGAAAUAAGCUGUCUCUAUUUAAUUUUAUUAGAAUUUUAUUUUUAAGUAAAAAAGCUUAAAUUUUAAUAGAAGACGAGAAGACCCUAUAGAGUUUUAUUUAUUUUUUAAAUAAAAUUAAUAGUAUUAAUUAUUUUUGUUUAAAUGAUAAAUUUAGUUGGGGUGAUUGAAAAAUUUAAUAAACUUUUUUUAUAUAAAUACAUUGAUAUAUGAUUAAUUGAUCCUUAAUUUAAGAUUAAAAGAUAAAAUUACCUUAGGGAUAACAGCGUAAUUUUUUUUGAGAGUUCUAAUCGAAAAAAAAGAUUGCGACCUCGAUGUUGGAUUAAAAUAAAAUUUUGGUGUAGAAGCUAAAA